GCAUUAACUAAGGGAGGUGGAAGGGUGGGGGUUCUAGGCUGAGAGAAGGAAAUAUACAAGGGUCCCAAAGAUGACAGGAGCAUGGGGGUGAGGAGUCCCCGAAAGAGAAGACAUGUGAUGUUUUUUUUCCUCUGAGGUUGACACAGUUCUGCCAUGAAUCAAAGAUAAACAUUCACUGCAAACCAUGUUUAGCCUGCGUGCUACCAGUUUGCAAGCCCUUGGGGAGCUGGUCUUGAAGG
rnacentral:lncRNA from 1 species